CAGAAUCUUCUGCGGUAAAACUU
rnacentral:misc_RNA from 1 species